GUUGUUGCAAUGAUUAUACAAAUUCCUCGUACUGAAUGCUACCUAGCAUGACAGACACCUAACACCCAUAGAAUAUGAGCAACA